CAGGGCGGCUUGUCAAAGCUUUCUUCAGAUCUCAGCAGAUAAGCAAAGCCGGGCCUGGUCAGUACUUGGAUGGGAGACCACUGGGAAAACCUGGUGCCACAGUGA
rnacentral:rRNA from 1 species